GCCUUCUUAGCUCAGUGGUAGAGCGCGCCACUCGUACAAUCCUGUGUGCUAUGGUGAGGUCGGUUGUUCAAUCCAGCCAGGAGGCA